CAGCCAUGCCCAGGCUGGGGUGUGUGGGCCGCUCCCGCCGCCACUGCCUCCAGCCCUGAUAGAGUUCUGGCUGAAGGAGAGCUGACUACAUCACAAUCCAGAUGAAAUGGAAGAAAAAGGAAAGCAUUAAGAUGUAUGCAUGGAAGCUUGGGCUGAACCAUCAAGUGAAGGAGUAUGACUGACCUUUGCCAAAAUAUAUUGCUGCUUUAGGGGCCUACUGGGUCCACAGCUGAUCCUAGCCUAUUAUUAGAUUAUAGAUAACCCAGCUGGUGGCAAGAGGAGGACUAGAUGUUUGAAAUGGAGUAAAACUCCAAUGGACCAAUUAAGGAUUAUUAUGCCCAUGCAUCUCCUACAAACGUCCUCAGCCUCCAACUGCCUGGCUUUCUGCUACAGAUUUAAGGAAACAUAUCCUCACAUUUUCCCUCAGUGUAAACAAGGUAUAGCAAAUCUGUGAAUGGUGGAGGAACACGCAAAUUGCUUUAUGUUAAUUCUAUGAACCAAGUACCAGUCAUGGACCUCCUUCAAAGUCAUCCUAAUUACCUUUUGAACUCCCAAUUUGUCAAAAGACAUGAAAUUGUAUAAAAGAUCCUUGGGUCCUGAUUCUGUCAUCUCAGAUCUGCUUCGGCUUCAUCAGGGGAAGUCUGAGUCGCAAAACUGAGGUCCCAGUUAUGCUGGUAUGACCUGAAUAUGAGAUUUGGACAUUGGACCUGUGAACUAUUUCUGAAAGAACUCAUUGCAACUACAAAGCUCACCAUCUCUGCUAUGAAUCUAAAUCUCAAUGAACUGAACUCAUGUCUGUAUGUAUAUUGAUCUUUUUACCAAACCCUCUCUUUUGUGUUUUAAUAAAGUUUAGGUUAGUUAAUAAGAA